UACGUAGGUGGCAAGCGUUAUCUGGAAUUAUUGGGCGUAAAGCGCGCGCAGGCGGUUUCUUAAGUCUGAUGUGAAAGCCCACGGCUCAACCGUGGAGGGUCAUUGGAAACUGGGAAACUUGAGUGCAGAAGAGAAGAGUGGAAUUCCACGUGUAGCGGUGAAAUGCGUAGAGAUGUGGAGGAACACCAGUGGCGAAGGCGACUCUUUGGUCUGUAACUGACGCUGAGGCGCGAAAGCGUGGGGAGCAAACAGG
rnacentral:rRNA from 1 species